rnacentral:rRNA from 1 species
UACGGGGGGGGGGCAAGCGUUGUUUCGGAAUUACUGGGCGUAAAGGGCUCGUAGGCGGCCAACUAAGUCAGACGUGAAAUCCCUCGGCUUAACCGGGGAACUGCGUCUGAUACUGGAUGGCUUGAAUCCGGGAGAGGGAUGCGGAAUUCCAGGUGUAGCGGUGAAAUGCGUAGAUAUCUGGAGGAACACCGGUGGCGAAGGCGGCAUCCUGGACCGGCAUUGACGCUGAGGAGCGAAAGCCAGGGGAGCAAACGGG